UACGUAGGGGGCGAGCGUUGUUCGGAAUUAUUGGGCGUAAAGAGCUCGUAGGCGGUUUGUCGCGUCUGCCGUGAAAGUCCGGGGCUCAACUCCGGAUCUGCGGUGGGUACGGGCAGACUAGAGUGAUGUAGGGGAGACUGGAAUUCCUGGUGUAGCGGUGAAAUGCGCAGAUAUCAGGAGGAACACCGAUGGCGAAGGCAGGUCUCUGGGCAUUAACUGACGCUGAGGAGCGAAAGCAUGGGGAGCGAACAGG
rnacentral:rRNA from 1 species